ACCUGGCUGAUUCAGCUGGUGUAGCAUGAGACUCUUGAUCUCAGGGUUGUGGGUUUGAGCCCCAUGUUGGGUA
rnacentral:tRNA from 1 species